rnacentral:rRNA from 1 species
AUCCUGGCUCAGGAUGAACGCUAGCUACAGGCUUAACACAUGCAAGGUCGAGGGGAAACGAUAUUGGAAGCUUGCUUCCGAUAGGCGUCGACCGGCGCACGGGUGAGUAACGCGUAUCCAACCUGCCCACCACUUGGGGAUAACCUUGCGAAAGUAAGACUAAUACCCAAUGAUAUCUCUAGAAGACAUCUGAAAGAGAUUAAAGAUUUAUCGGUGAUGGAUGGGGAUGCGUCUGAUUAGCUUGUUGGCGGGGUAACGGCCCACCAAGGCGACGAUCAGUAGGGGUUCUGAGAGGAAGGUCCCCCACAUUGGAACUGAGACACGGUCCAAACUCCUACGGGAGGCAGCAGUGAGGAAUAUUGGUCAAUGGACGAGAGUCUGAACCAGCCAAGUAGCGUGCAGGAUGACGGCCCUAUGGGUUGUAAACUGCUUUUAUAAGGGAAUAAAGUGAGAGUCGUGACUCUUUUUGCAUGUACCUUAUGAAUAAGGACCGGCUAAUUCCGUG